rnacentral:lncRNA from 1 species
ACAAAUGAGAAGAAGACUUGAGGGGAUUGAUGAGCUGAGGUCAUGCUGGACCACUAGAACGCAGCAAGAGCAGCUGAGCCCAGUGCUCUUGUCUCUAUUACGUGGAACAUUAGGGAGAGGGAGAUGAACGAGGCCAUACUAUUGCAAUCACUUGGGAAAAAAAUACAAAAUUUUCUGAAAAUACAAGAUGCUUUCUACUGCCACCAGACUUCCUUUGGAAGUUUUCCUACCGCUUAAUAACUAGGAACUUGUUGGCAUCUGACAGAGCAUCUCAGAUUUCUUAUGUAAAAUGUGGAAUUGUCAACAGUCAGAUGCUUCAAUGGCCAAGACUGUGGUGUGCAGUUUCUAUCAGCGUGUACAGGACAUCCUGCCUGGUUUUGGCCUCAAGGAAGCAAUGGUGAGAUUUUGUAGCUCACCGUCUCCUAGUUGGAGCAAAGGGUGCCAAACAGAGGUCAAGCUCGGGCCACAGGGAAACUGGGAAAAUACAUUCACGAUGUUCAUUGCCAUGUGCGAGGAGUCCAGUGGAUUUCAGAAAAGUUGUCUUCUGUGUCUCCUUAUAGGAUAUGGCAAUAGCCCCUUACUGGAAGAGCAUUUUUAGAGCUGCCAUUGAUGGACACAGAGGGUGUUAAAACCCAGAGCACAUAAGCCAGGAUGAGAAAAUUAAUCAGAAGAUAAAAGACAGCGGGCUUUGGGGACCCUGGCCGAGCCCUCCUGCAUGCUCCUGGGACAUCCUUUCAGACCAGCAGCACCAUCCCAUGCAGGGGCUGUGACAGAUGACUUAUAAUGUAGACAUCACCUCUGCUGGUGGACAGCCUUCGGAUUUGCUGAGUCCUUUCAUAACAAAUAAAACCAAACACGACAAAACACUAUAAAC